rnacentral:lncRNA from 1 species
UUUGGAUACAUAAUGUAGUGGAGAAUCACCAGGAAGUUGAAUAAAUCUCAUAGGAGUUAAGAUGAAGAACCUAUCCAACUUUCAAAUCAGGUGAUCCCAGUUUUCCUGUUUGGGAAUAUGACAACUUCUUCGUCAUUCUUAUCAAACCAGGAUGAACCGUGAUGUAAGAAGCUUGAUUUGGAUAGAUAAAGUACUGGAGAAUCAGCAAGACGUUGAAUAAAUCUCAUAGGAGUUAGGAUGAAGAAGGUAUCCAACUUUCAAAUCAGGUGAUCCCAGUUUUUCUGUUUGAGAAUAUGACAACUUCUUCGUCAUUCUUAUAAAACCAGGAUGAACCGUGAUGUAAGAAGCUUGAUAUGGAAACAUAAAGUAGUGGAGAAUCACCAGGACGUUGAAUAAAUCUCAUAGGACUUUGGAUGAAGAACCUAUCCCACUUUCAAAUCAGGUGAUCCCCGUUUUCUUGUUUGGGAAUAUGACAACUUCUUCGUCACUCUUAUCAAACAAGGAUGAACCGCGAUAUAAGAAGCUUGAUAUGGAUACAUAAAGUAGUGGAGAAUCACCAGGAAGUUGAAUAAAUCUCAU